AUGGCCGGCAUCAUCCACAAGAUCGAGGAGAAGCUCCACAUGGGCGGUGGCAGCGACGAGCACAAGAAGGCCGAGGAGCACAAGAAGGACGGCGAGCGCAAGGAGGGCAUGAUGGAGAAGAUCAAGGACAAGAUCAGCAGCAACGACCACGGCGACGGCAAGUCGUCCCGCGACCACAAGGAGAAGAGGGACAAGAAGCACGGCGAGGGCCACAAGGAUGACGGCGGUCAUAGCAGCAGCAGCGACAGCGGCUGA
rnacentral:rRNA from 1 species